GACGAACGCUGGCGGCGUGCUUAACACAUGCAAGUCGAACGGAAAGGCCCUGCUUUUGUGGGGUGCUCGAGUGGCGAACGGGUGAGUAACACGUGAGUAACCUGCCCUUGACUUUGGGAUAACUUCAGGAAACUGGGGCUAAUACCGGAUAGGAGCUCCUGCUGCAUGGUGGGGGUUGGAAAGUUUCGGCGGUUGGGGAUGGACUCGCGGCUUAUCAGCUUGUUGGUGGGGUAGUGGCUUACCAAGGCUUUGACGGGUAGCCGGCCUGAGAGGGUAACCGGGCACAUUGGGACUGAGAUACGGCGCAGACUCCAACGUGCGGCAACAGUGGGGAAUAUGGCACAAUGGGCGGGAGCGUGAUGCAGCGACGUCGCGUGCGUGAUGACGGCUUUCGGGUUGAAAACCGCUUUCGCCUGUGACGAAGCGGUAUUGACGGUAAUGGGUAAAGAAGCACCGGCUAACUACGUG
rnacentral:rRNA from 1 species